UACGAAAGGUGCAAGCGUUACUCGGAAUCACUGGGCGUAAAGCGCACGUAGGCGGACUCGUAGGUCACUUGUGAAAUACCUGGGCUCAACCUGGGAACUGCAGUUGAAACCACUUGUCUUGAAUACCUGAGGGGGUGGGGGAAUACCUGGUGGAGAAGUGAAAUUCGUAGAGAUCAGGUGGAACACCGGAGGCGAAGGCGCCUGCCUGGCAGUGUAUUGACGCUGAGGUGCGAAAGUGCGGGGAGCAAACAGG
rnacentral:rRNA from 1 species